UACAGAGGUCCCAAGCGUUGUUCGGAUUCAUUGGGCGUAAAGGGUGCGUCGGCGGCGCGGUAAGUCGGGUGUGAAAUCUCGGAGCUUAACUCCGAAACUGCAUUCGAUACUGCCGUGCUUGAGGACUGGAGAGGAGACUGGAAUUUACGGUGUAGCGGUGAAAUGCGUAGAUAUCGUAAGGAAGACCAGUGGCGAAGGCGGGUCUCUGGACAGUUCCUGACGCUGAGGCACGAAGGUCAGGGGAGCAAACGGG
rnacentral:rRNA from 1 species